rnacentral:rRNA from 1 species
GACGAACGCUGGCGGCGUGCUUAACACAUGCAAGUCGAACGGAAAGGCCCUGCUUGCAGGGUACUCGAGUGGCGAACGGGUGAGUAACACGUGGGUGAUCUGCCCUGCACUUCGGGAUAAGCCUGUGCAACUGGGUCUAAUACCGGAUAGGAGCCAUUUUUAGUGUGAUGGUUGGAAAGUUUUUUCGGUGUAGGAUGAGCUCGCGGCCUAUCAGCUUGUUGGUGGGGUAAUGGCCUACCAAGGCGGCGACGGGUAGCCGGCCUGAGAGGGUGGACGGCCACAUUGGGACUGAGAUGCGGCACAGACACCUACGGGAGGCAGAAGGGGGGAAGAUUGAACAAUGGGCGCAAGCCUGAUGAAGCGACGCCGCGUGGGGGAUGACGGCCUUCGGGUUGUAAAAUACUUUCGCUAGGGACGAAGCUUUUUGUGACGGUACCUAGAGAAGAAGCACCGGCUAACUACGUG